rnacentral:rRNA from 1 species
AUCAUGGCUCAGAUUGAACGCUGGCGGUAGGCUUAACACAUGCAAGUCGUGCGAGAAAGUACCUUCGGGUGCGAGUAGAGCGGCGGACGGGUGAGUAACGCGUAGGAAUCUACCUAGUAGAAGGGGAUAGCCCGGGGAAACUCGGAUUAAUACCGUAUACCUCCUUAGGGAGAAAGAGGGCUUAGCUUUGAUGCUCUCGCUAUUAGAUGAGCCUGCGUAAGAUUAGCUUGUUGGUGAGGUAAUGGCUCACCAAGGCGACGAUCUUUAGCUGGUCUGAGAGGACGAUCAGCCACAUUGGGACUGAGACACGGCCCAGACUCCUACGGGAGGCAGCAGUGGGGAAUAUUGGACAAUGGGCGCAAGCCUGAUCCAGCCAUACCGCGUGUGUGAAGAAGGCUUUCGGGUUGUAAAGCACUUUAAGUAAGGAGAAAAAGAUUGUAGUUAAUACCUGCAAUCCGUGAUGUUACUUACAGAAUAAGGACCGGCUAAUUCCGUGCCAGCAGCCGCGGUAAUACGGAAGGUCCAAGCGUUAAUCGGAAUUACUGGGCGUAAAGCGCGCGUAGGUGGUUUUUUAAGUUGGAUGUGAAAGCCCUGGGCUCAACCUAGGAACUGCAUCCAAAACUAGAUAACUAGAGUACGAAAGAGGGAAGUAGAAUUCACAGUGUAGCGGUGGAAUGCGUAGAUAUUGUGAAGAAUACCAAUGGCGAAGGCAGCUUCCUGGUUCUGUACUGACACUGAGGUGCGAAAGCGUGGGUAGCGAACAGGAUUAGAUACCCUGGUAGUCCACGCCGUAAACGAUGACAACUA